rnacentral:lncRNA from 1 species
CCUGAACAGCCAAUUAAUACAAACUUCUAGAACCUCAUUAAAUACUGCUUUUAAUGAAAACUUCAAAGCACACAGUUGAUGACAUUUCUAAUAAUGCAUAUAUUCACAUGAAUGUUGUCUGCAGUAACCCUGAAAGAAAGGGAUAAACUCAAACAUCACCCUAAAAACCAUGCUUUCAUAAAGCAAUGGAAAUGUUAUGUAUCUGCUUCAGCAUCACUGCCUGCAAGGCUGCUGUCUGUGGACGGAGCACCAUCUUCAUUAAUGCCCUCACCAUUAUUCUCCUUCUUAUGGCCUUCAUCAUUUACAUCCUCCUUGGAUGCAUCAUUAACUUUUGAAGGUUGGCUGCUUUCAGGGAUUUUAACGCUACUCGUUGUGGAAUCUGAAUCAGAUGUAGUUUGCUGCUCCUUUGAAUCAGGAUCCUCUAGAAACGAUCCCCAUACCUUCAGCCUUUCUUCCCUUUCUCUUGCAGUCUCCUCCACCUGAUAAUCUGUUACACCAUCCCAUGUUUCAGCACUGAGCUGACGGCCACCAAACCACCUUCCAUUUAGAGUUAGUUUGCACAGAUCAGCUUCUGUCGCUUCCUUAAAUGACACAGAAGCUACGCCAUCAGGGUGUCGAUCAAAUAUGAGAACCUUCUUUACUUGACCAAACUUUUCACAUUCUGUCCGUAGGUCUUCCCUGAUCUCAUUUAGCACUAAGGGAUCCUCCUCAAAGUCCUUUGGGUGAAACAUAUUCCUGAUAAUAACGAUGCGUUCAUGUCGCAUUCGAGCUGCGCCAUCUUUCUUCUCAGGCCUCCAAUCCAGCUGUUUCUGCUGUUGAGACAAUUUCUUCUUGUAGUCUUUACAUUUCUUCUUCUUCUUGCUUGCAUCGUACUCCCCCUUGAGCUGAAACUUUGCAACUUCAACAUGCAAUUUAUAGCCUCUAAUUUCUGCCUCAUCCAGAAGCCUCAAAGCAAGUUGAACUGAUUCUCUCUUUAGAUAGCAGCAGAGGCCGUCUCCUUUGAGAUUUCCUUCCUUAUCUUUGUAAAGUUUGAUUUUGUGCUCUUCCGUCUGAGGAUCUCGCAUAAUGAUACCACCUUUUGACAUGACUUGAACAAAUUCAUCUUUUGUAAUGUCUGGUGGUAAACCAGUCACAUAAACAUUUGUGUUUCUGUCUUCUUCAACAUGAAACCAUCCUGGCUCAAGCUUCCGUUUUUCUGUCUUUUGUUUUGGCUCUGUUUGUUUUGGUCCUUUCUCAUUUGCUGACGGUUGUGUUUCUGAUGUCUUAGAACUUAGUGGUAACUUAUUUUCAGAUGCUGUGCCAGAAGCAGAUGAACUAUCCGUUUCGUCUGCAUUGAAGCCAUAGUUAGCAUGGUACGUUGCCAGGAAAUCUUCUGUUAUCUUGGGGAACCAGGCCUUCUUCUCCCGGUCCCACUCGUAGGCGGCCCCGUCGGCCGGGUCCACGUAGGUGAAGGGAUCGGCAUCGCCCUCGCCGCCGCGAUCGGCCUCGUACUGCUGCUGGAGCUGCAGCUGCCGGUAGAACUCCUCGUUGCCGUCCUCUCCGCUCAUCCUGGCCCAGGGCCUUGGCGCUGAGGGGGAAGGCAGACGGCCACUCCGGGCCUACGCUCCCGCGCUGCCGACUGAGGCACUGCUCGCCCCGCCCCCUCAGAGCGGCGGGGCCGGGAGCGCGCGAGGACCCGCGGGCACGCGCAGGCAACAGCGGCGAGCGCGCACCGCCUCCUCAGCCCCGCGCCGCCGGUGACCGACCCCGGACCUUGCAACGCGCAGGAGCGGAAGUAGCACCCAGCCCGCGCAAGGAGCUCCUUCCUUCAUCUCAGCCAAUGAGACGCGGGAUGGCAGAUCACGUGGAGUUCGCGGAGCCAAUGGGAAGGCAGCGUGAUCUUACCCUGCUCGGAACGGCGGGCGCGCACGGAAGAGGUGGGGCUUGCGUUUGGUUGUGGGGGCGGGACAAGUUCUGUUGUAAUGGCGCCUCAGGGGGUGGUCGGGCGUUUCUGAGAGCUGCUGUGAGCAGCAGCCGUGCCUGAGCAGGCCUGUUGUAGGAGCUACGGCCGUUUUACUCACGGGAUGAAAUAAAGCCUGCCGUGGGUGAAGCACUGUAGCACCCCGUGCCUGUGGUGUCCUCCCUCGGGCAGCUGCGCACAGCGGCUGACUUGAAUCGGUUCUCGUAACGGGGCUUUGCUUGAUGCCAUCUAGAGGUUUUCGCUGCAAUCUAGAUAGAUCUGUGCCAAUAGCAAGUUUACUUGCUAAGGGGUAUAUUUAGAGGUGUUUAUUUGGAGGGUGAAGAAGCCUGCUGCUUAUGCUUUGUUAUGCGGAGCUUAACCUUGAGCUUUAAAGUGCAGGCAUUGGAGCAGUGUAGGUGUGUUCGAUGGCAGUGUCACUGCUCUGUGGAAGCUGCAGGGCAGGCCGCCAGGUGGCUGAGUGGCAAAGCAAUCUUUCCACUCAGAAAGAAAAGUGAUGCCCUGUGCAGAAAUGUUCUGGAAAUAAGUAUUCCACGGACAGAUAUAUCUGUGUUGUCAGACAGACUGGAAUGAUAAUAAAAUCAAAGACAGAAUUCUGAGCCUCUGAAGCUCAGUAGGGAGUGACCAACAUAGCUAAAUGGCUGGUCAACAGACAGCCAGAUAAAAUUGCUAUGGAUAUAAAUAGAGACUUUCAGUAUCCUUUGGCUGUUACACAAAGAACAACCAGCCUAGUUAAUGGCUUCUUUCAUGCUUCAAGAAUUUUCUCUUGGCAGGGCUAUUCUGAUAGUCAUCCAAAAGUUGUUGUAUGAUCUUACAAUCUGACAGCUUAAGAGACAUUUGUGUUAGCUCUGACGUAGCCCGUUUUAGUGGGGUACAUGGGAGGCUUGUUGUAAGCUGUGCUUACUUGAAAAAUAAAAUGCAGGUCAGAUUACUGUCCUUUGUAUGUUGCUAACACCAGUAAGAUCAGAUCAGCCUGUAUUGAUGUUUGAGGGAAAAAAAUGAUCAGUGAGUCAGCUGCUGAGGUUUGAUGCCCACUCAUUCCAUUUCCACUCUUAGGUGGUGACAUGAAGAGAAAUCCAGUUUAAUAGGCUUAAGUAUUUAUUUGCAAGGUUUGAAUUGGAUAUAUAUUUGGAUGUAUGAUAAUUACAGCCUUGAAUGCUCUAAGAGCUCUACAAUUUAAGUCUUAGACCACUAAUCUGAUAUUUGCAGAGUUUUUCACAUUUACAGACUGGGUAAAUGUAGUGAACUCUGUGUCCACGUGUUACAGAUUUCCCAAGUGUUUUGCAUUUUACUUUAACAAACUCUGGAUCCGAUGUCCUUGGACCAAAGAGCUGGAGUGCUAGUAUAUAAGCUCUUUUUUUUUUUCCUGGUUGAGUGCUUAAUGGUAAACUUAAAAAUUCAAAUUCCUUCUUUUGCUGUGCAAGAGAUAUUUUACAGAUUGGCAUAGCUGUGGUGGGAGGACUGGAGAGCACUUUCACUGUAGCUCUGCCUAAAACAAGUCAUCUGAGCACUAUUCUGGGGAGUGGGACAUCCGAACUUAAUCCCCACAGAUUGCUAGAAGUAAGAGCAUGGUUGCUUGUAGCAGGGUUAUCCAGCUACCAAACAUCAGUUCCUGCCUGGUAAGUGUAGUCUGUAUAUUUCUGCUGCAGAGGUGAGGACGAACUACCUCAGAUUCCUUUGCACUUCCCACAGAGAACACCAUGCAUGAAGGCAGCUACUGCAGAACAGCUGACAUCCAGUAGCUUCUUACCUUGUCACCGCCAUCUGUUCUCUUCAUCUUAAGUAACAACUGCACAGUGAGCCAGCUCAGGGGGCUAAUUCAGCUGAAAACCAGUAAUUUUUCUUUUUUUAUAUAUGUAAAUCAAGACAGCUUUUGCCUCAAUCACACUCUUGGAAUAAUUGAAUUCAUGGCUGCACAAGCACAGCUGCUGCAGCAGGGGAAAGAUGAGCUGCAGGUUCUGGGGAUGGAAUGUCAGGAAAUGACAUUUUAAAUGACAAAAUAUCUCAAAGCAAACAGUAA